rnacentral:misc_RNA from 1 species
AACGCACGAGACCUGCGGACCUGCGGAGGGAUCAUUACCGAGUGAGGGCCCUCUGGGUCCAACCUCCCACCCGUGUUUAUCGUACCUUGUUGCUUCGGCGGGCCCGCCUCACGGCCGCCGGGGGGCCUCCGCCCCCGGGCCCGCGCCCGCCGAAGACACCAUUGAACGCUGUCUGAAGAUUGCCGUCUGAGCAUCAUAGCUAAAUCAGUUAAAACUUUCAACAACGGAUCUCUAGAUCGG